GAUGAAGAACGUAGCGAAAUGCGAUAAGUAAUGUGAAUUGCAGAAUUCAGUGAAUCAUCGAAUCUUUGAACGCACAUUGCGCCCGCCAGUAUUCUGGCGGGCAUGCCUGUCUGAGCGUCAUUUCAACCCUCAUGCCCCUAGGGCGUGGUGUUGGGGAUCGGCCAAAGCCCGCGAGGGACGGCCGGCGCCUAAAUCUAGUGGCGGACCCGUCGUGGCCUCCUCUGCGAAGUAGUGAUAUUCCGCAUCGGAGAGCGAUGAGCCCCUGCCGUUAAACCCCCAACUUUCCAAGGUUGACCUCAGAUCAGGUAGGAAUACCCGCUGAACUUAAGCAUAUCAAUAAGCGGAGGA
rnacentral:misc_RNA from 1 species